GGGCGAGUGGUGAAAUUGGCAAACACGCACGCUUCAGGAGCGUGUGCCGAAAGGCUUGCGGGUUCAAGUCCCGCCUCGCCCA
rnacentral:tRNA from 2 species